CCUACGGGUGGCUGCAGUGGGGAAUCUUGGACAAUGGGCGAAAGCCUGAUCCAGCGACGCCGCGUGGAGGAAGAAGUCCUUCGGGAUGUAAACUUCUGACCUAGCCGAAUAAAAGGCCUGUGGACACACAGGAGAAGAAAGUAGGCUAGGAAAAGUCCCGGCUAACUACGUGCCAGCAGCCGCGGUAAGACGUAGGGGGCAAGCGUUACCCGGAAUUACUGGGCGUAAAGGGGGCGUAGGCGGUAAAAGAAGUCAUCUGUGAAAACCUAUUGCUCAACGAUAGGCUAGCGGAUGAAACUGAAUUACUUGAGGGCACCAGAGGUAGACGGAAUUACCCGAGUAGGGGUGAAAUCCGCAGAUACGGGUAGGAACGCCGGUGGCGAAGGCGGCUUUCUGGCCUUGGACUGACGCUGAGGUACGAAAGCGUGGGGAGCAAACAGGAUUAGAUACCCGAGUAGUC
rnacentral:rRNA from 1 species